GAUGAACGCUAGCGGCAGGCCUAACACAUGCAAGUCGAGGGGCAUCGGGAUUGAAGCUUGCUUCAAUUGCCGGCGACCGGCGCACGGGUGCGUAACGCGUAUGUAACCUACCUAUAACAGGGGCAUAACACUGAGAAAUUGGUACUAAUUCCCCAUAAUAUUCGGAGAGGCAUCUCUCCGGGUUGAAAACUCCGGUGGUUAUAGAUGGACAUGCGUUGUAUUAGCUAGUUGGUGAGGUAACGGCUCACCAAGGCAACGAUACAUAGGGGGACUGAGAGGUUAACCCCCCCACACUGGUACUGAGACACGGACCAGACUCCUACGGGAGGCAGCAGUGAGGAAUAUUGGUCAAUGGACGCAAGUCUGAACCAGCCAUGCCGCGUGCAGGAAGACGGCUCUAUGAGUUGUAAACUGCUUUUGUACGAGGGUAAACUCACCUACGUGUAGGUGACUGAAAGUAUCGUACGAAUAAGGAUCGGCUAACUCCGUGCCAGCAGCCGCGGUAAUACGGAGGAUUCAAGCGUUAUCCGGAUUUAUUGGGUUUAAAGGGUGCGUAGGCGGUUUGAUAAGUUAGAGGUGAAAUCCCGGGGCUUAACUCCGGAACUGCCUCUAAUACUGUUAGACUAGAGAGUAGUUGCGGUAGGCGGAAUGUAUGGUGUAGCGGUGAAAUGCUUAGAGAUCAUACAGAACACCGAUUGCGAAGGCAGCUUACCAAACUAUAUCUGACGUUGAGGCACGAAAGCGUGGGGAGCAAACAGGAUUAGAUACCCUGGUAGUCCACGCAGUAAACGAUGAUAACUCGUUGUCGGCGAUACACAGUCGGUGACUAAGCGAAAGCGAUAAGUUAUCCACCUGGGGAGUACGUUCGCAAGAAUGAAACUCAAAGGAAUUGACGGGGGCCCGCACAAGCGGAGGAACAUGUGGUUUAAUUCGAUGAUACGCGAGGAACCUUACCCGGGCUUGAAAGUUACUGACGAUUCUGGAAACAGGAUUUCCCUUCGGGGCAGGAAACUAGGUGCUGCAUGGUUGUCGGCAGCUCGUGCCGUGGGGUGUCGGGUUAAGUCCCAUAACGAGCGCAACCCCUACAAAAUAGUUGCCAUCAGGUCAAGCUGGGCACUCUGGCGGGACUGCCGGUGUAAGCCGAGAGGAAGGUGGGGAUGACGUCAAAUCAGCACGGCCCUUACGUCCGGGGCUACACACGUGUUACAAUGGUAGGUACAGAGGGUCGCUACCCCGCGAGGGGAUGCCAAUCUCGAAAGCCUAUCUCAGUUCGGAUUGGAGGCUGAAACCCGCCUCCAUGAAGUUGGAUUCGCUAGUAAUCGCGCAUCAGCCAUGGCGCGGUGAAUACGUUCCCGGGCCUUGUACACACCGCCCGUCAAGCCAUGGAAGCUGGGGGUGCCUGAAGUUCGUGACCGCGAGGAGCGACCUAGGGCAAAACCGGUAACUGGGGCU
rnacentral:rRNA from 1 species